AAUCUCGCCCAAUACGCACCGCGACCAUACCCUGUGGCAACCUCGCUGCACCAUGCUUCGCUUAAUGAUCACGCCAAGACACGUCGACAAAGGACUACGCCUUGCUGCCCUAGCCAUGCCUGCUGACAAGGGCCAUAUCCUGCGGUACAUGCCAGUGCCAUACCGCACGCAGGGCAACUCAAACAAUGUACCUCAAGCAAGCCGUGGCCGCGCGCCACCUGGCCAGCACCAUCUCCUC
rnacentral:lncRNA from 1 species